rnacentral:rRNA from 1 species
AAUGCGCCUGAUCUUGUCUGAUCUCAGAAGUUAAA